rnacentral:tRNA from 1 species
AAAAAAAUAAGCUAAUAAAGCUACUGGGUUCAUACCCCAAUUAUAAAGGUCUUAAUCCUUUUUUUUUUA